rnacentral:rRNA from 1 species
UACAGAGGUCCCGAGCGUUGUUCGGAUUCACUGGGCGUAAAGGGUGCGUAGGUGGUGGAGUAAGUUUGAUGUGAAAUCUCCGGGCUUAACCCGGAAACUGCAUUGAAUACUAUUCCGCUGGAGGUUUGGAGGGGGGACUGGAAUUCUCGGUGUAGCAGUGAAAUGCGUAGAUAUCGAGAGGAACACCAGUGGCGAAGGCGAGUCCCUGGACAACCCCCGACACUGAGGCACGAAAGCUAGGGGAGCAAACAGG